rnacentral:rRNA from 1 species
AGUGAAUAGAUACCCAGGUAGUCCACACCGUAAACGAUGAUCACUAGUCGUCGGAGGAUUCGACCCUUCGGUGACGUCGCUAAACGCAUUAAGUGAUCCACCUGGGGAGUACGCUCGCAAGGGUGAAACUCAAAGGAAUUGACGGGAGCCCGCACAAGCGGUGGAGCAUGUGGUUUAAUUCGAUGCAACGCGAAGAACCUUACCUGGGCUCGAAGUGUAGUGUAAACUCAUGAAAGUGAGGUAUCCCUUCGGGGAGCGCUACAUAGGUGCUGCAUGGCUGUCGUCAGCUCGUGUCGUGAGAUGUUGGGUUAAGUCCCGCAACGAGCGCAACCCUUGUCCUUAGUUGCCAUCAGGUAAAGCUGGGAACUCUAAGGAGACUGCCGGCGUUAAGUCGGAGGAAGGUGGGGAUGACGUCAAGUCCUCAUGGCCCUUACGUCCAGGGCUACACACGUGCUACAAUGGCCGGUACAAAACGUCGCAAAACCGCGAGGUCAAGCUAAUCGUAAAAACCGGUCUCAGUUCGGAUUGUACUCUGC